CCAGAUGGUCGGAUGGCCGCUGCUGUNGCAAUACAGGAGAGGAAAGUCCGGGCACCACGGAAGAACGGUGCCGGUUAAUGACCGGCGAAGGUGACUUCAGGGAAAGUGCCACAGAAAGCAAACCGCCCNAUUUAUNGGGUAAGGGUGAAAGGGUGCGGUAAGAGCGCACCGCCCCGCUGGUAACAGGGGGGGCAGGGUAAACCCCACCGGGUGCAAAAUCGAAUAGGAACGUCGGUCUUCGCAAGAAGACAGCCCUUCUUCCGGGGUGUCGUUCGGGUAGAUUGCAAGAGGGUGCUGGCAACAGUACCCCUAGAUGAAUGGUCAUCCAUCUGUUUUGUCUUNUGGCNAANCGGNGGACAAAACCCGGCUUACAGACCAUCUGGAUAU
rnacentral:RNase_P_RNA from 1 species